rnacentral:lncRNA from 10 species
GCUGUUUGGGCGGGGGGGUGGGGGGGGAUGGGCAGUGAUUCUGGUAGGGAUGUGGGGUGUGUUUUAAAGGAACUAGCUAACUAGAGGACUUAAAUUGUUCUGUCGUUUAAAGGCAACGUAAAUUAUGAUCAUUUAAAUUUUUCACUCACUUGCAUCAGGUAAAUUAAUUAUCAACAACAGUUAGGCAUGUGGUGGUGCUUCUAAGGGGCGUGACCAGUUUUACACAGCAGUAAAACAGAGGACAUUUCUGCCUCUCCACCCCCACCUCUUUUAAGUCAUUGCCCUUUAUUGCAGGAGAGCAGCAGCAUAUUCAUCUUUAGAUAGUUCAGAGAUUAAACGGAUUUACACUUCGCUGUGUGUGGAGGGGACAAUUCUGCAAUACCUUAAAACAGGGGUCCCCAACCCCUGGGCCACAGACUGGCCUGGCUAAUUUUUUGUAUUUUUAGUAGAGACAGGGUUUCUCCAUGUAGGUCAGGCUGGUCUCAAACUCCCAACCUCAGGUGAUCCGUCCUCCUUGGCCUCCCAAAGUGCCGGGAUUACAGGUGUGAGCCACCACGCCCGGCCAACGCUUUUCGAAAGAAGACAUACUUGCAGCCAACAAUCAUAAUGAAAAAGCUCAACACCACCAAUCAUCAGAAAAAUGCAAAUCAAAACCGCAGUGAGAUACUAUCUCAUACCAGUCAGAAUGGCUAUUAUUAAAAAGUCAAAAAAUAACAGGUGCUGGUGAGGUUGUGGAGAAAAAGGAACAUUUUACAGUGCUGGUGGGAGUUUAAAUGAAUUCAACUAUUGUGGAAGACAGCGUGGCGAUUCCUCAAAGACCUAGAGGCAGAAAUACCAUUUGACCCAGCAAUCACAUUACUGGGUAUAUACCCAAAGGAAUAUAAGUUGUUCUGUUAUAAAGACAUACACAUAUGUAUGUUCAUUGCCACACUAUUCACAAUAGCGAAGACAUGGAGUCAACCUAAAUGUCCAUCAAUGGUAGACUUGAUAAAGAAAAUGUGGUACAUAUACUCCAUGGAAUACUAUGCAGCCAUGAAAAAGAAUGAUCUCAUGCCCUUCGCAGGAACAUGGAUGGAGCUGGAGACCAUUAUCCUUAGCAAACUAAUGCAGAAACAGAAAACCAAGUACCACAUGUUCUCACUUAUAAGUGGGAGCUAAAUGAUGAGAACACAUGAAGACAUAGAGGGGCACAAUACACACUGGGGCCUAUCAGAGUGUAGACAGUGGGAGGAGGGAGAGGAUCAGGAAAAAUAACUAAUGGGUCCUAGACUUAAUACCUAGGUGAUGAAAUAUUCUGUACAACAAACCCCCAUUACACAAGUUUACCUCUGUAACAAACCUGCAUAUGUACCCCACAACUUAAAUAAAAAUAAAUAAAUGGAAGGAUACUGUAUGUAUAGUGU